rnacentral:rRNA from 1 species
AGUGAACGCUGGCGGUAGGCCUAACACAUGCAAAUCGAACGGCAGCACAGUAAGAGCUUGCUCUUACGGGUGGCGAGUGGCGGACGGGUGAGGAAUACAUCGGAAUCUACUUUUUCGUGGGGGAUAACGUAGGGAAACUUACGCUAAUACCGCAUACGACCUACGGGUGAAAGCAGGGGAUCUUCGGACCUUGCGCGAUUGAAUGAGCCGAUGUCGGAUUAGCUAGUUGGCGGGGUAAAGGCCCACCAAGGCGACGAUCCGUAGCUGGUCUGAGAGGAUGAUCAGCCACACUGGAACUGAGACACGGUCCUGACUCCUACGGGAGGCAGCAGUGGGGAAUAUUGGACAAUGGGCGCAAGCCUGAUCCAGCCAUACCGCGUGGGUGAAGAAGGCCUUCGGGUUGUAAAGCCCUUUUGUUGGGAAAGAAAAGCAGCAGGUUAAUACCCCGCUGUUCUGACGGUACCCAAAGAAUAAGCACCGGCUAACUUCGUG